UGUCCUUGCCGACCCUGGACCCCUCCCUGAGACCCAGAGCCACAAUGGCCCAACUGCCCACCACGGAGACGUCCGGGGACCCUGCUCUGUGCAGAGGACGCUUCACCAUCAGCACACUUCUGGGGGGCGAUGAGCCCCUGCCACCAGCAGCCUAUGACACUAGCCACCCCAGCCACCUGACCCAUGGCAGUACUUUCCACAUGCGCACCUUCGGCUACAACACCAUGGAUGCGGUCCCUGCCUAUGAGCACUAUGCUGACAGUGCCCUGCCCGGGCAGCCCCGGAAGGUCCGGCCCACACUGGCCGACCUGCACUCCUUCCUCAAGCAGGAGGGCAGCCACCUGCAUGCCCUGGCCUUCGACAGCCGGCCCAGCCAUGAGAUGACGGACGGGCUGGUGGAGGACGAGGCUGGCACCAAGAGUGACAAGAGCCCCGGGGAGCCCGUGCGCUUCGGCUGGGUCAAGGGCGUGAUGAUCCGCUGCAUGCUCAACAUCUGGGGUGUGAUCCUCUACCUGCGGCUCCCCUGGAUUACAGCGCAGGCGGGCAUUGUGCUGACCUGGGUCAUCAUCCUGCUCUCCGUCAUGGUGACCUCCAUCACAGGCCUCUCCAUCUCGGCCAUCUCCACCAACGGCAAGGUCAAGUCAGGUGGCACCUACUUCCUCAUCUCCCGGAGUCUGGGCCCGGAGCUGGGGGGCUCCAUCGGCCUCAUCUUCGCCUUCGCCAACGCUGUGGGUGUGGCCAUGCACACGGUGGGCUUCGCAGAGACCGUGCGGGACCUGCUCCAGGAGCACGGCACACCCAUCGUGGACCCCAUCAACGAUAUCCGCAUCAUCGGCGUGGCCACCGUCACGGUGCUGCUGGCCAUCUCCCUGGCUGGCAUGGAAUGGGAGUCCAAGGCCCAGGUGUUGUUCUUCCUUGUCAUUAUGGUGUCCUUUGCCAACUACUUGGUGGGGACCCUGAUACCCCCAUCAGAGGACAAGGCCUCCAAGGGCUUCUUCAGUUACCGGGGGGACAUUUUUGUUCAGAACUUGGUGCCCGACUGGAGGGGCAUUGAUGGCAGCUUCUUCGGAAUGUUCUCCAUCUUCUUCCCCUCGGCCACCGGGAUCCUGGCAGGAGCCAACAUCUCUGGGGACCUCAAGGACCCUGCUGUGGCCAUCCCCAAGGGCACGCUCAUGGCCAUUUUCUGGACCACCGUCUCCUACCUGGCCAUCUCAGCCACCAUCGCUUCUCAUCCCUGCAGCUGUGGCCAGCAUGCUGGGGGCAGGCGAGUUGGGAAGGGAGACUGCCCCACACCCUACCUCCUCUCAGGCUCCUGUGUGGUGCGUGACGCCUCCGGGGACCUGAACGACACGGUGACCCCUGGCUCGGGUGCCUGUGAGGGGCUGGCCUGCGGCUACGGCUGGAACUUCACCCAGUGCGCCCAGCAGCACAGCUGCCACUACGGCCUCAUCAACUACUAUCAGACCAUGAGCAUGGUGUCGGGCUUCGCGCCCCUGAUCACCGCCGGCAUCUUCGGGGCCACCCUGUCCUCUGCCCUGGCCUGCCUGGUCUCUGCUGCCAAGGUCUUCCAGUGCCUGUGUGAGGAUCAGCUCUACCCACUGAUCGGCUUCUUUGGCAAAGGCUACGGCAAGAACAAGGAGCCCGUGCGCGGCUACCUGCUGGCCUAUGCCAUCGCAGUGGCCUUCAUCAUCAUUGCCGAGCUCAACACCAUUGCGCCCAUCAUUUCCAACUUCUUCCUGUGCUCUUACGCCCUCAUCAACUUCAGCUGCUUCCACGCCUCCAUCACCAACUCACCGGGGUGGAGACCCUCGUUCCAAUACUACAGCAAGUGGACGGCGCUGUUCGGGGCAGUGGUCUCCGUGGUCAUCAUGUUCCUGCUCACCUGGUGGGCAGCCCUCAUCGCCAUCGGCGUGGUCCUCUUCCUCCUGCUCUACGUCAUCUACAAAAAGCCAGAGGUCAACUGGGGCUCCUCGGUGCAGGCGGGCUCCUACAACCUGGCCCUCAGCUACUCCGUGGGCCUCAACGAGGUGGAAGACCACAUCAAGAACUACCGCCCCCAGUGCUUGGUGCUCACCGGUCCCCCCAACUUCCGCCCGGCCCUGGUGGACUUUGUGGGCACCUUUACCCAGAACCUGAGCCUAAUGAUCUGUGGCCACGUGCUCAUCGGACCCCGAAAGCAGAGGAUGCCCGAGCUGCGGCUCAUUGCCCACGGGCACACCAAGUGGCUGAACAAGAGGAAGAUCAAGGCCUUCUACUCUGACGUCAUCGCCGAGGACCUCCGCAGCGGCGUCCAGAUUCUUAUGCAGGCCGCAGGUCUGGGGAGAAUGAAGCCCAACAUCCUGGUGGUCGGAUACAAGAAGAACUGGCAGUCUGCUCACCCAGCCACAGUGGAAGACUACAUUGACAUCCUACAUGAUGCCUUUGAUUUCAACUACGGCGUGUGUGUCUUGAGGAUGCGCGAGGGGCUGAACAUCUCCGAGACCCUGCAGGCUCACGUUAAUCCUGUGUUUGACCCAGCGGAGGACAGCAAGGGCACUAGCACCCGCGGGGCCAGGCCAUCUGUGUCGGGCACACUGGACCCUGAGGCCCUGGUGCGGGAGGAGCAGGCCAGCACCCUCUUCCAGGCCGAGCAGGGCAAGAAGACUGUGGACAUCUACUGGCUCUUUGAUGAUGGAGGCCUCACCCUCCUCAUCCCCUAUCUCCUUCGACGCAAGAAGAGGUGGAGCAAAUGCAAGAUCCGGGUGUUCAUUGGGGGCCAGGUCAGCAGGAUGGACCAGGAGAGGAAGGCGAUCAUUUCUCUGUUGAGCAAGUUCCGACUGGGAUUUCAUGAAGUUCAUGUCCUUCCUGACAUCAAUCAGAAGCCGCGGGCGGAGCACACCAAGCGCUUUGAGGACAUGAUCGCGCCCUUCCGCCUGAACGACGGCUUCAAGGACGAGGCCACUGUGGCCGAGAUGAGGCGGGACUGCCCGUGGAAGAUCUCAGAUGAGGAGGUCAACAAGAACAGGGUCAAGUCCCUUCGGCAGGUGAGACUGAAUGAGAUCCUGCUGGACUACUCCCGGGAGGCGGCCCUGGUGGUCAUUAUUGGAAAUUGAACCCUGGAACAUUCUCUCACUGAGAUACAUUCUUUUUGUUUUUUGUUUAUACAUAUAUAUUUAAAGCUAAAUAUUUUUGACACAGUAUACUUACUUGUUUAUUUAUUUUUAUGUGGUUGCUGAGGUUCAAACCCAGUGCCUCACACAUGCUAGACAAGUGCUCUACCACCGAGCUACAACCCCAGCCCUUUUUUAUUUUGAGACAGGGUCUCACUAAGUGGCCCAGGCUAGCCUUAAACUUGCAAUCCUCCUGCCUCAGCCUCCUGAGUUGCUGGGAUUAUAGGUGUGCAUCACCACACCUGGCUAAUAUGCUUUUUUUUCCCCCUAAAAAUGUCUCAUGGUGCUGGGAAGGAAGGGACAGAGGUGGAACAUAAAUGAUCAUAGGAGGAAUGUCGUUGUAGAUGGAGGGUGUGGGCAUACAAAUGCACAGCAGGUAUUUCAACACUCACGUGUUUGAACAUUCCCAUAAAUCUGCAAAGUAAGGGCUGCCUUGGAGAGCAGCCACGAUAUCGUGAGUAGUAAAUGUCCAUGAAGAUUGCUUUUCUCUGGAGAGAAGGCCACCACACACUGUGCUUGGAGUGUGUGCUCAUGUAGAGGGGGUCCAAGACUCUGGGCGACGGCCCCGCCUACCUGUGAUAUGCCAGCUGCAGUGGUGCGCACCUGCAGUCCUGCUACUCAGAGGCUGAGGCAGGAUGGUGGAAGGAUCCAGGGAGCCUCACAGUGCCUCCCAGAGCACAGAUUCCCCUCAUGAGGCCUCCGCUCUCAGGACCUAUUCACCUAAAAGUCCUGCCUCCUAAAACCUAAUGUCUAAUGCCAGAGCCCUGGGAGUAAAGAUUUCAACAGGCGACCUGGGCUGGUGUCUCUCCUCUCCUCUCCCCCUUCACCCCAAGGCUGCAUAGGGAAAGCCCAUCCUCGGCCCGGCAUCCUUAUGGGAUUAGCUGAUACAAAUGGCGAAGUGUCCUGGCGCCUUGGAGAAGCGAGCUGCACCCACCCGCCCACGUCACAGCCGCAGUUGUUGCCCACAGGGGCCCUGGGUUCUUGGGUCACCUCCAUGGGGAGGACAGACAGCUGCAUCUGUGCUAGUGAUCUCCAAGCUGGAGGCAGGCCCGGGGGUUCUGAGCUGCUGGACAACUGUAGGAGCCCAGGAUCCUGCAUUCCCCAGAAAUUCUGUUGUUGUUGGAUUUUUUUUUUUUUAAACUGGGCAUUGAACCUUGAGCUCGGCCAUACUUGCACAGCUGCCAAAGCAGCCUGGUCAACCGCCCAACAGCCUUUUACUGUCCCAACAACCUGUUCUUGUUGGGGUCAGACACCUCUUUCUUCUGUAAUGGCCUUCUCCUCAAAGUGAGACAGAGCUCUUGGACAUUGCACUUUAUGAAUCGGACCUCUGUGGUACUCAAGGCACCGGGCCUUACUAAUUUUCAAAACUGUGUUUGAAUCAA